GUCCAGCGCGUCCAAUAAAAUUGCACAGAAUCGUGACAUUCGGAUUACGUCAUUCCAGUUUGAACGUGGAAGUUGGAACAAACGGGAUAAACAACGGUAGCCUGCCAGACUCGACGCUGAGCUCCAAUUAAAUUUCCAAGAUUGCUUCCCUUGGCCAUGAGGAACCUGCAGAACCUCCUUGUCACAUUUGUGCCUCUCACCCCAGCACCACGUCACCCCAACGUGAUGAGACAGAAUGGUCACAGUCUGGGCCCCUCGUGCGGAUUUGGAAGAGGGCGGUCUCCACGCCCGC